AGUGAUUCUGAUGUCCGAUGCUUGAAGGGUCUCAAGCAAUCGUUGGUUGAUCCUAACCAUGUACUCGCCUCGUGGACAUUUCCUGAAAAGAGCAUUGACGGUUACAUAUGCCGGUUUGCCGGCGUGGAAUGCUGGCACCCUGACGAGAAUACGGUGAUCGGUUUGCACUUGGGCAGCCUAGGGCUCGAAGGUCCAUUCUCUCAAGGUCUCGAGCUUUGCACCAUGACCUACCUGGACCUGUCAGGCAACAACUUCUCAAGCCCUCUCCCGGAGCGCAUCUCCGAGCAGUUGUCCUACAUAACCUACCUGGACCUCUCCAACAACAGUUUCUCAGGUGGAAUCCCCGCAAGCAUCGCCAACAUGACGUACCUGAACGCGCUCACCCUUCAACACAACCAGUUCACCGGCGGAAUUCCAGCGCAGCUGGGCAACCUUUCGCGGCUAGUUUCCUUCAGCGCGGCGGAGGACUCAAUGUCUGGUCCUGUCCCGGACUCUCUGCACCGCUUCCCGGCUGCCAACUUCACGGGCAACCCGGGGCUUUGCGGGCCGCCGCUGGACAAGAAGUGCAAGAAGAGGUUCAGGGUUCGGAUUCAGGAGAUGUUCGUCCGGAUUCAAAAACUGUUGCACAGCAUCAACGACGCAUCCAUCAUCCGGGCGUCGGCUGGGUUCAUCUUGGGCUUCGUGGUGGCCUUCUACUUUCCACACUGGUUCGUCUUCUCCGAGAUGCUCCGGCCCUACGUCUUUCAUGUUUGUGGGGGACUGUGUACCACGCGCAUAUGCAUAUGCAAUGCAAUGGUUCAGAGAUCUGCCCUAUGA
rnacentral:rRNA from 1 species